rnacentral:rRNA from 1 species
GACGAACGCUGGCGGCGUGCUUAACACAUGCAAGUCGAACGGAAAGGCCCUGCUUUUGUGGGGUGCUCGAGUGGCGAACGGGUGAGUAACACGUGAGUAACCUGCCCUUGACUUUGGGAUAACUUCAGGAAACUGGGGCUAAUACCGGAUAGGAGCUCCUGCUGCAUGGUGGGGGUUGGAAAGUUUCGGCGGUUGGGGAUGGACUCGCGGCUUAUCAGCUUGUUGGUGGGGUAGUGGCUUACCAAGGCUUUGACGGGUAGCCGGCCUGAGAGGGUGACCGGCAACAUUGGGACUGAGAUACGGCCCAGACUCCUACGGGAGGCAGCAGUGGGGAAUAUUGCACAAUGGGCGGAAGCCUGAUGAAGAAACGCCGCGUGCGGGAUGACGGCCUUCGGGUUGUAAACCGCUUUCGCAUGUGACGAAGCGUGAGUGACGGUAAUGGGUAAAGAAGCACCGGCUAACUACGUG